CUCUAGAAGGUUCCAAACUUCUUCCAUUUAAGAAUGAUGGAGGCCACUGUGUUCUUGGGGACCUUCAAUGCUGCAGAAAUGUUUUAGUACCCUUCCCCAGAUCAGUGCCUUGACACAAUCCUGUCUUGGAGCUCUACAGACCAUUUCUUCAGCCUCAUGGCUUGGUUUUUGCUCUGACAUGCACUGUCAACUGUGGGACCUUAUCAGUGGUGGGAAAAGUACCCAAUUGUCAUACUUGAGUAAAAUUAAAGAUACCUUUUAAUAGAGAAUGACUCAAGUAAAAGUGAAUGUCACCCAGUAAAAUACUACUUGAGUAAAAGUCUAAAAGUAUUUGGUUUUAAUUAUACUUAAGUAUCAAAAGUACAAAUACAAAUCAUUUCACAUUUCUUAUAUUAUGCAAUCCAGGGGUUAGGGUGCUAACUUCGUGAUCUGGUAACUCUUCCGAGAGGUCGUCAGUAGAAUAAGGGAGUUAUCAUGGAAGGUGACGUCAGAUCAUGUCUUAAAGAUACACUUCUCCUUAAUGCAACUGCUGUGUCAGAUUUCAAAAAAGCUUUACCGAAAAAGCACACCAUGCAAUAAUCUGAGUACGGCGCUCAGACACAAAAACAUGCCAUACAAUAUAUCCGCCAUGUUGGAGUCAACAAUAGUCAGAAAUAGCAUUAUAAAUAUUCACUUACCUUUGAUGAUCUUCAUCAGAAUGCACUCCCAGGAAUCCCCGUUCCACAAUAAAUGUUUGUUUUGUUCGAUAAAGUCCAUCCUUUAUGUCCAAAUACCUCUACACACUGCGAACAAUUUAGACUAAGGAUGCAUUGAGAUACUGAUCUUUCAUUACCAGGCCACCGUGACAGGAAAACAGGGACAAAGGGGGUCUCUAAUGAGAACAGUUAUUACCGGCAAUAAAAAGGUUUUGUUUGUAAAUGUACAUUCUAACAGGGAGAAUGUGUGCUAAGUUGAGAAGCUGGGAUUCGAGUCCUAUUCUUAAAGUAAGCACUAAGGAAUGUAAUUCUAAAUUUGGGUUAAAUCAUUUAUAGAAUGUUUUAGUUAUGAUUUGGACACAGCGAGAGAUAGUUGCUACAGAACGGUGAGGGGUGGGGGCACUGCUAAAAUGUAUUUGACCGAGGGAGGCUCCAUAAACCUUAUCUCUAAGUGUCAACCGUGAAAGUUUUGUUCUCUUUUGUUUUACCAUGUAAUCAAAAUGUUUAUGUUAAAUCGCAUCAAUGGGUGGUGCUAAGUUAUUAAACAUGUACUUUUUUUCUCUUUCAAGUCAAUAUGUUUUUAGGUUUCGUGGAACAUGAGUGAUCAUUGUUCCAGAGGAGGGACUGAUGUAUAUUGACUAAUUGAUUUGAGAAUGUUUUAGUAUUUUUCUGUAGAACUGUAGAAAUGCAUUAGGAGUAGUAACUAGUGUGUUAUGGGUUAGAUGGAAUGAUAGAGGAGUAUCAUUCCGAGAGACUAUAUAUUGUUACAGGAGAUAGCUCAUAGGAGAGGGAGGACAGCUAACUGUACACAAUAUGGGGAUUUAAUUGAACAUUACACAUACCCAGAUCAUGGUGAAAGUAGAAGAGAUAGGGGUGGCAUUUCAGACACUAUGGUAAACGUUCAAGAAACCUGUGACUCAGAGUUUUGUUAGUUUGGAUAUUCUUCCCGACUAAUUAAUCUUUUUCCCAAUUUCUAACAGCCGGCGAACACUUGACAGAUGAAUUCCAAAUCAAAUCAAAGUUUAUUUGUCACACACCGAAUACAAAAGGUGUAGGCCUUACAGUGAAAUGCUUACUUACAGGCUCUAACCAAUAGUGCAAAAAAGGUGUUAGGUGAACAAUAGGUAAGUAAAGAAAUAAAACAACAGUAAAAAAGACAGGCUAUAUACAGUAGUGAGGCUACAUACAGACACCAGUUAGUCAGGCUGAUUGAGGUAGUAUGUACAUGUAGAUAUGGUUAAAGUGACUAUGCAUAUAUGAUGAAUAGAGAGUAGCAGUAGUGUAAAAUUGAAGGAGUAUAUAGGCAUGGGCCAUGUUAGUAGUAGCAGGGGUUACUUUAGUAGCAUUGUUGGGAUAUCAGUUUAUGAGGACAUGCCACAUGGCUUGGUAACUGGGAGGCCGAUGGGAGUACAGGGGAGGCUGUUAUUCAAAUGUCUCAAAUUAGUGAUCGUGCCAUAAGAGGAGAGUCUAUGUUGUCAGGAAAUGACCCAUGUGUUGCAGUGUGUAUAUCCUCAGGUGAAAGCAGAGAUAACCAAGGGCACGGGCUGAAUUCUGGAAAUGGAGUGAACAUCAAGAUACACCAGGCGGGGGUGUUGGUACAGCAUUGGUUUGGUCCACACACAGUAGUCCUUACAGCAUCUGCAGCGGUAAAGAUGUCUCUCCUUGGUGGGUGCAUUGUUCUCACGUGAAGUGAGGUCCAGCUGCAUAAUGGGUGAGCUUGAAGACACCAUGACAGAGGAAACGGAGCGAAAGAGAGAGAGAGAGACUAGAUUCCACUCUUUCCAAGUCUUGUGCUAUCACUCUCUUAGGAACCAGAAGGAGAGAGUAGAGAAACAAAAGGCCGCUCCAACUGACAUGGAACAAGACAGCAGAUUCAGCUGAAAUGUCAUUUUGUUGUGUGAUUAGAGAUGGAAAUAAGAUUGUGUAUGGUGUGAUCAUAGAACGGGCCAUAAGUCUCUGAGUUUGUAAACCUCACGGUGGUGAAUGUUUAUUUUUUUUUAUCAUUGUUCGUUCAUUUAUAUUCAUGUUUUAUUUUUUAUUUAUUUAUUAAUUUUCGUUAUCAUUGUUUGUUCAUUUAUAAGUAAUUUCUUGCUUAGCAAGAAUGAUGCAAUGUUUAGCGAUAAGGAGGAGACUCCACCCAAAGUGGGGUAUGAAUACCACCACAGGGGAAGCCGUGUCUGUGUCUGAAUUACAGCUGUAUCGACCCUUUGGGGAUAAUUAAACUUGGUUAAGCUUC